rnacentral:rRNA from 1 species
ACUCAAAUGAAUAGACGGGGGCUCACACAAGCGGUGGAGCAUGUGGCUUAAUUCGAGGCUACGCGAAGAACCUUAUCCUGGGCUUGACAUGUGCGAAAGCGUCGGGGGGUAGCCCUCUGGAAACAGAGGGUGAAGGUAUCCAAUCCUGAACCCGAUACAGGUGCUGCAUGGCUGUCGUCAGCUCGUGUCGUGAGAUGUCGGGUUAAGUCCCAUAACGAGCGAAACCCCUGUCCUUAGUUGCCACAUUCAGUUGGGGACUCUAGGGAGACUGCCGGUGUCAAACCGGAGGAAGGUGGGGAUGACGUCAAGUCCUCAUGGCCUUUAUGUCCAGGGCUGCACACGUGCUACAAUGGCGCGCACAAAGGGAUGCCAACCCGCGAGGGGGAGCCAAUCCCAAAAAACGUGCCCCAGUUCAGACAAGAGGCUGCAACUCGCCUCUUCGAAGUUGGAAUCGCUAGUAAUCGCGGGUCAGCAACACCGCGGUGAAUGUGUUCCUGAGCCUUGCACACACCGCCCGU